GCGUCUGUAGCUCAGCUGGAUAGAGCAAUGGACUUCUAAACCAAAGGCCGCAGGUUCGAAUCCUGCCAGACGCGCCA
rnacentral:tRNA from 1 species